UCUUCCUCAGGUUUUUCCCACCGCCGCCGUCUGAAAUCGGAAACUAACUGAAAUGCAAGGGAAGGAGCACUGGAUCUUAAGUUACAACAAGUGCAGAUCAUUUGAUUGGACAUAGGAAGAAUGCAAUUGAAUUUAGAUCUGUGUCUACGAAGAAGAUCCUGCGACUGUAAUGAAAUUGGUGAUGCUUGAUAGGAGGAUUUAUAGCUAAAGGAUAUUAUUAUUAUUAUUUUGCUGCUGAUUUACGUAGACAGAAGAUGGUUACUGCUAUGAGAUUUUAGUUUCUCAGUUUUAGGGGAAGUAUUUAAAGACUUUGAAUUGAUGGUAGUGCAUAUUAUGUGGCUCCUUAAGAAUUUUGACGGCAUUACGGAGCAGAAGCUGAUAUCUGGAGUGUUGAUGUCACUUCGUAGUGGAGUCCCACCCACAUGGCAGUGUCAAACUGGAAAUCAACACAGUGAUGUCUAGUUUUACGUACUAAUGGAUCAGGGAAUAAAAUAGUUAGCCUAUUUGUGAAAAAGGUGCUCAAGUUGGUGCACAUUUUAUCUUCUCUGGGAAUGUUUUUGAACCAAGAGCACUUGAUGAACUUAUUCCACACUGGAAACAACAACAGGAUUGUUGCUAAAGGAGCUGUUUGUAAGAAAAAGUUUCCAACCGCCGGAUGAUUUCAAAAAUUGAGAAGCCCCGUUUUCUUAUCCUUGGCGGAGAUUUUGUGUAUCAGCGGGUGUCUACAUCAACUUUUGGUACUUUAUUUCAGCAGGAAACGGAUCAUUUGAAGGUGGCAGUAGCAAAGAUAGUUGCUCAUCAUCCCAAUGUCUUAUUGGUAGAAAAUUCAGUUUCACGUUUCGCUCAAGAAUACCUCUUUGAAAAAGACACAUCUCUCGUUCUCAAUAUCAAGAGGCCUCUGUUAGAGCAUAUAGCACGGUGCAUAGGUGCACAAAUAGUUCCUUCGAUUCAUCAUCUUUCGUCUCAAAAACCGGGUUAUGGUGAAGCAUUUCACGUGGAGAAGUUCCUUGAAGCACAUGGGAGUGCUGGGCAGGGAGGAAAGAAAAUGGUGAAGACAGUUAUGUUAUUUGAAGGGUGCCCCAAGCCAUUGGGUUGCACUUAGGUACUCUCUGGAUGCUGUCUGUGACAGGUGGUCGACAGGGCAGAACUUCUAUUUACUGAAGUACUUAAUGCUCUCCCGCAGAUUCCAAUAAAAAGAAUAGGCACGUUAUCAGUAAAGGUGGCAUAAUCAAGACGUGACAUUGGAGAUCUUGAAAAGUUGCUUCAGAAGGAGAAGGUAGAAUUUGAGAAAGUUCUAAAUAGAGGGGUAAGGAAAGGGGAGAUAACGACGGGUAUACUUGAAUUAAUCGAUUGCCAUUCAUAUGUGUGGGACCACCAACUGAAACGUACAGCAAAAUCAGAUAGCAGCAGCCUCCAGGAAGGGCUCAACAGCUUUAUACAAAAGCGUACGGAGGAGUCUGUAAAUACUACAGAGAAGCUUGUGUCAACAAACUCAACUUCCAAGCAAGGUGGUAAAGAUUCUCCCAGUUUUGACUCCACACUUACAGAUGCAAGAUGUGAUAAAAAAUUAUCUGGAAGGAACUGGUGAGCAGGUGGAUUCCUUUCAAAUCAUAACACCACAGGGCCACAUCUUUUAUCAAGCUUAAGUUUAAAUGCCCCAGCUGAUCCUUUAGAAACUAAGAUACAUGUGGGGAGGGCAAUCUCAGAAGGUCAGUUUCCGAUUAUAGCGAACCUCGAUGCAGCAUGGACUGGUGAAAACAUGCCAGGGAGUACGAUACUGGAAGUAAAUGGUUCUGCACAUACUGAUUGGCAGCAGAUUCAUUGACCAAAGGCGGAAUUAAUAUAAUGAGGUUAAAAGCGCUUCGAAGACCUGGGUAUCAGGUCAUCGAAUCUCAUCAUCCCGUAUUGCCCGUGAAAGUCGCAGAUAACUCAGACAACAACACAGGAUGGACUGGGAUGCCCUUCCUGAACCUCUACCGCUCUUACAUCAAGAGUUCUUCAGAGAGCGACACUUCAAAGCUUGAGCCCCUCCAUGAUUAUAAUCCUGUUUAUGUCUCAUCAUUUUAUGAAUUGGAAUGCCAGGGCGUGUUUAGACUUAUUCUUCCUAUUGGUGCAAAUGAAACUAUUGUGCCAAUUUAUGACGAGGAGGCAACAAGUAUCAUAGCACACGCUCUAGUCUCAAAAGAUUAUUACGUUCAGAUGUCUGAUGAGUGGGAGAGGCCCAAGGAUGGUACAAAAUCUUCCGUUCUUUUGCCAGCUUUUAUGAUCCAGUGAAUCUUCAGUCGUUUCGUUUAAAAGUCUUGGGUCUAGAGAUAGUAGCAUUUUAUCCAUGUCUGGUUCUCGGACGUCUGUGAUUUCAGAUCCACUCGUGUAUACAAAGGCGGCGCAUGUUUGAGUGGAAUUCAGUGACGAUGGUCCACUUGGGAAGGUGAAGUAUGCUGUGACUUGUUACUAUGCAAAGGGGUUUGAAGCCUCAAGGAGGACAUGUUGCCCAUCUGAGCUAGAUUUCGUAAGAUCCCUUUUAAGAAUUGGGAGCAAUGCCUACUUUGGUAACUCAUUGGAUGAAUGGUUUAUACCAAGACAGAAAUAGUGUCAUUUAUCCAGAAGAUUGUGGGGGUCUAUCGGGUAUCAGAUGGUAGAGGCAUCAUUCAUAAUCAGGAGGAACCUCGUGCGAUUUCAAUAAUCCUAACUUCAACUUCCUGGCAAAGAGAGCACGCUUCUGUAAAGCGGCAUGAUGUAACUUGACGAAACCAUAACAGAUGUCAAUAGCCUGAAUAUAGUUGAGCAAGGGAUGAAGGUACUCGGGCUCGAUGGUUUGGCAGUUUUCUGAGGGUAUGGUGAUCAUACAGAGCCCUGGUACCUUGACAGUGUUUGCCAGAAAAUCAGAAGUAAAAUUGGCCUCUCUAGGCAGAGGUUUAAAUUCUAUAUCUUUCCAUCCCCAUUGUCCAUUGGAAUGAAUAAUUUGUGCCUGAAGCAAUUGCAUUAUCUUCUCAUAUAAAACCAAGUAUUUUUCUUUAUAAAGACCCGUGUUGACCAA